GGAUCUCUGGUUGGAGAUCCAUCCCUUGUGGAGGUUUUCCCUGCAAACCUAGAUCUUCAGAGAUGGAGCAUAAUUAAUGGAAAUACGAGCACUGUCCUGAACAAACUAAUUUUAACAGAACAAUCAAAAAUCAAGUCUAAGAUGCAUCUCAAAAAUCGAUCAGUUUAUGAAGUGCUUAGCACCUCUGGACCACUGUGGGAGAGAUGAGAACAAAACAGAAGAUGGGGGAAAAAAAAGACCAUUUCAGCACUAAUAAGGUAACUCACCUUUUUAUGAUGGAACAGUUACAAUUCCUUUCUCCCUUUUUAAAGAUGGGGAUUUGAUUUCUGCAUUUCAAAUUUUUAUUCCAGCAGUACUUAGGAUUUGAUUAGGCUUACUCAUUUCUAUCCCAGCAUGUUCUGAAAAGAGCUAAAAUGCUGUGCAGUCUCUUACAUCAUCAGUUUAACUUUUGCAGUCAGUUAGUUCUGAGUGAAAACCUAUGCAUAGGUAUUUAAAAGUCCUGUUAAAUCUCUUUUAGAAAUUAACGUAGAUUAACUUUAUGGGUUUGGUUGUGUAUACAAGAGACAUGAAAUACUUAGUAAUAUGACCAACAAAGGAAUAUGAUUUGGGGACAUUGUUACUGUUCAAUUUCUAAAUAGCAUGUUCUAUGCCUUAAUGAAGUCAAUAUGCCUAACUAUCUAAACUAGAUCUCAAAGAGCAAAGCUGGGUACUGGAAGUGGCAUAACUUUGUUAGUAGGAUCAUACAAACAGAAAGGUUAUUUUCUCUCCCGCUGUCCAGUUUUUGGUAGUCUAGUUGGUUCAUUUUGAGUUAAUGUGGAUAUUUCUGCAUGAUGUUGAACUUUUGCUAUUAAGCAUUUAAUAUUAAGCAUAUUAAGCAUAAGUCCUUCAGUUUUUGGUUUAAUGCUGUCUAGCUUGGCGAUAUCAGUUGUAUAGGAGGUAACACGUAUUUUGAAGACAGUUGAUCCGGUCAAUGUAAGAAACAAUGGUAAGUUCCAGAGAGUGACCAAAUGCUGAUUUCAUGAUUUCAUAUACUGGCCUCUGAUAAGUUCUGUGGCAGGGAACAGAGUUAAGGUUUAGUGAAGCUCUUGAGUUUCUUCUCAUGAGGUUUCAAAACUGUAUAGAAUUGGGCUCAAAAUGACAUGAUCUUUUCUCUAAGAACUAUCUCAAGUGCAUUAUUUCAUUUUGGAAAUGAACCAUUGCGUCACUGUCUCCAGAAAAGACAUAAGGUUGUUAGCACACAGAUCAGGAACUGUUCAGCACUUUCAAACAGUCACUGAGCUCAAUAAAGUUCAUAAACUUUCUGCUCAGCAGUGGUUAUUACAAGUGACUGACAAACAGUAAGCAUUAAAUUGUUCUGCCUUUGUCAGUUUAAGCAACAGUACAUGUCUAGUCCCUUUCUACGGACUUCCUAUAUGACUGAGAUGACUGCCCUUGUUUUGAUAAAUGAAUUGAAACCAUACUGUGUUUAAAUUAUAUUUUUAUGGUGUAUUUUCUUCUGUUCCUGCAAGCUUGAGUUUCAAGAGAUAUUUUUUUUUUUUUGCCCACAUAAAAUAUCUUCUGUUCCUAAUUAAAGCACUACAGAUGCUUCUGUUUCUGUUUUAUGCCUUGACAAAGGCCUUCAACAAUCCAAAUGGGCACUGUGCACUUCUGGUAUGAAUUCUAGGCACUCAGAAUAUUGAGACUUUAAGCAUACUUGAAUGAGAAUAAUUGCAAUUUUUAGCAUUUAAUGAUUCAAGGAAAAAUCUCAUCCACUAAGGAAGACCAUAGACGGAAGAAUGCAGUGAAAUCUACUUUGGUAUUGGUAAAGAUUUUUAUUUAUUAGUGGCAUUAUAAGCCUUAGUUAUUACAAUAAGAUAGCAGGUGAGUGCCUUCAUAGCAGUUAAAACCUAUUGUCCUCCUGGACUUUACAAGCUGCAAUUCUCAAUUUGAAUUCAAGGUCUCUGGAUCUGUGCACAGAGAACUUAGUAUACUUUAGUAGGUGCAAUAGUUUACUCACUGUUUGGAAAGCUUUCCUAUUAUGUGGGAACUUUUAAAUGAUUUCCUGAUUAUCUGAAAAUAUCCUCAAAGGCACAACCUGCAAUGCAUACCAAGAACCUAGUGUGGUAACAUCAAGGAAGAAUCACUUGUACAAACUUUUGGUUAGCAUACCUGGGAGAAUUUGACUUCUGGUCAUGCUGAAACUGGGAUUGCCAUAAAGCCUCUCUAGCAUACAGCUGAUCUUGUAAAGUAUGUAGGCAGAUGCCUUGCUUCAUUUUUCCCUGUUUACUGCAGUUGUAUUCUCUCUGUCUUUCACUUUAGCCAGGAAACUAGCACACCCACGUGUGAGGGCUGCUCCAGAAGUAAUGCCUCUUAUUUUAUUGUGUUGGCACGGGAUGUGAGAGGCAGAUGUUGAUGGUAUGGCAGAAGAACUUCACCCUUGCCACCAAUAGCCCAUUACAUUUUGAUACCAUGUGACAGCUGGCAGGAGAGAGGCAUUGACAAAAUGAUGUCUGCCAUGGAAGUGUGAAUGAAGCAAAGAUAUAUCAUCGAACUCCUCCAUGUGGAAAAAAAUGCAUCUGUUGACAUUAAUCAGUGCUCCAUAAAAAAAUGAAUGUUUAUGGAAACCAAGCAGUGGAUGUGAACACUGUGAGGUGGUGGGUGAUGCGUUUCAGCAGAGGUGAUAUUGAUGUGAAAGACAAGCCAUGUUUGGGACAGCCAUGCAGAUUUUUACUAGUGCAGCAUGCAGGCUCUUUUCCAUUGCUGGCAAAGUGCAUAGUUAAUGGUGAUGAGGAUUUGCUCUAUCAAGUAGUGUUACUGUGCACUUUGUAGCUGUUGAAGUUUUUUGGAAAUAAAUAGGAGGCAUUACUUUUGCACCAAUAUGUAUUGUUUAAUACCUAGUAUCUAAGUGAAUACUGCACAUGUUUGAACACAGGUUUCAAACUUCUAGUACAGACGAGAUAGACAUGCAGUUGCAAAUGAAGUCUGCUGUAUGUGCCUGUGUACAAUGUAUGAAGAUGAAAAUGCGAUUUUCUUUUAAUUUCAGCUUUCUUAGGUCCUGCUAUAGAAGGAAAAAAAAAACAACAACAAAACAUCAACUAUUGAGCCAUGUGUUUCUGAGCACUCUUUGUUACUGUAGGAAUACUGAUUUGUUAAUGUCUGAAAUUAGUAUUUUUUGAACCAGAGAAGUGUGGUGUCUUGGUACACACACAGCUUUAAGCAAGAAUAUGUUUAUGAAAAGAAUGGCAGGGGAGCUCCUUAGCAACAGAGCAUAUUAAUGCUAAAUGUGAAAAAUGGUAUGAAGCUGGUUCAGAUUACCCAAUAUUAGACUGUUCCUUUUAUUUUGGUUGCAGCGAUGUUACAGUAUGAGUGCUUCAGGCCAUGUGUAUAAUGCAGAGCCUCUUCGGUAAAUUUGCUUUAGCUGACAGUGUUCUUAACAAGUGACAGUUCUAAAUAUAGUCCAAUGAGUAAAAAGACAUUGCCCUUAGGCUGGGUUGAUCUCAUUGCCACAGAUUUUUUCCCCUUCUUUAUAGAAAGUUCAAAUACUAAAAAUAAAGAAUAAACAAGAAAAAUUAUUUUCCUUGGGGGCUUCUCAUUGUUACAAAGAAUGAUGAAGGUUUAUGUGAGGGUGAAAUAGUUUUCUUUCAGGUUAUUUUUGCUGAAGUUAGUGUGCAACUUUGAAAGCAUUGUUGGAAAUGCAAUGUGCAGAUAAUCAAAUACAGAUUUACUGUAUCCAAAUAUUUCCUAUGUACAUGAUGAAGGAAUGAGGAAAAUGCACAAUGGAUGGUGCAUAUCUUACCUAUGGAAAGUAUGGUUUUGAGAGGAAAACCUCAUCUUUUGAAUUCUUACCCUAAAGUCUAACUAUAAGUUCAUUUUCUCUUGACAAAAUGAACAGUGAGCACAACGUUGGAGAAAUGUUGGGGUGCUAGAGAACAUUCAGGAGAAAGCAUAUUUAUACUGAUUUGAAAAAAAUUGUCAUAGAUGCAAGCAGUCAAAUUAACGUGGCUGGUAAAUAAAACUACUGUUAUUUAUGUAACAAGCUGUAAUUCUGGAAAGUACUAUUUGACAUAGUCUAAAUGGAAAUAACACAGGAUGUCAUUUGUAAAUACAUGUGAGAGUAUCUUUUGCUGUUAAGAAUGUUAUUUUAAUUUUUAAAGUGCUGUCAGAUCUGUAAAGUUGCAAGCAAGGAAGGAGGAGCUGGGGCAUGCAAACUGGGCCUUCUGUGUUGGGGUGACAACAUUGAUGGACAAAGGAAGGGCAACUGAUGUUGUUUACCUGGACUUGUGCAAGGCCUUUGACACAUCCUUACCUCUAAACUAGAUAGAGACUGAUUUGAAGGCUGGAAGUACUGGCUGUGGAGUAUUGACAGUGGAGUAUUGGCUGGACGGUCAUAGCCAGAGGGUUGUUAUCAAUGGCUCUGUAUCCACGUGGAGACUAGUCAUGAAUGGUGUCCCCCAGGGGUCUGUGUUGAGACUGGUGCUCUUCAACAUCUUUAUCAACAACAUAGACAGUGGGAUUGGGUGUAACCUCAGCAAGUUUGCAGAUGACACUAAGCUGAAUGGUGCAGUUGAUGCAGUAGAAGGGAGGGAUGCCAUCUAGAAGGAUCUGGACAGGCUUGAAAAGUGAACACACAAGAAUCUAAUGACUUUUAACAAAGCUGAGUGCAUGAUGUUGCACUUGGGUCAAGGCAAUCCCAGCUAUGGGUUCAGACUGGGAGAAGAACUCCUUGAGAGCAGCCCUGUGGAGAAGCACUUGGGGAUCCCUGAGCCAGCUCUUGCAUCACAGAAGACUAACAGCACCCUGGGCUGCAUCAGCAGAGAGGUGGUGGCAGAGAGAGGGAAGGGAUUGUUCCCUUCUACUCUGCUUUUGUAAGGUUCUUGGUAAAUGGGCUGUAGUCAGGUCUCUAUGUUCUAAAAUGGCUGUAAUAUAAUUGUUUGUGGGAAACAGAAGUGUCCUGUAGGCUCGCGGACUCGGUUUAGAUUGUCUUCAUGCUUCACCUCAACUGGGAUUUUGGUUAAGCUUUUGUAUUCAGAGGUAAGUGGGCCAGUGCAUACAAAAUAGAAACAAUACCAUGGGAUUUCAGCACAAUGUCCUGCUUUUCUGCAGAGCCCUGUGAGUGAGAGUGGAGAUGUGCAUGUUAGAGAUGAACCGUGCCCUGCCUCUCACUUGCUGUGAAAGAUAUACCUUCCCAAUGGGCUUGGUGUCUUCAUUCCUUAGGCUUGUGUUUUUUUUUACCUUUGGAAAAUGUAACCAGACUUGUGCUUAAUCUCUCGAGGUAAGCAUGUGCUCUGGUUUGUCAUUUGAAUGCGUGGAUCUACAUGCAGUUCCUUCUUUAACUUUGUAUUGGCCUUUAAUAGUUCUCCAAAGAGGCUAUAGAAGAAACCAGAUUUGGAAUGAAACACAGCAAAGUCACGUGUGUCCUUGAGGACAAACACAGGACAUGGAUGCGGCCUCCACCAGUCUGCCUUCUAAUUAUGUGUGUUUGAGUUCCUGGAACUCGGUGGUGAUGCCUGAAAUAGUAAUAAUGAUAUGCUGUUUCAGGACCAGGAAUUGUGAAGCUGUCAAAGCACAUUUUUGAUUAGGCACACAUAGCCUACUGAGCUGUAAGAGGAUCUGAAGAGAGCCCCUUCUAGGCGCAGGAUAAAAGCGACUAUUUACAGCCAGCGUGCACCUGGUGCAGCUCCUCCUGGCUGCUGCGGGCGUCGUAUUCACUUCACCUGAGCAACAGCCCAUCCGUGCCUCGUCCGGCUCCUCGCCGGCUUUUGGCGGGGCGGGUGCAUCCUAGUUGCCGCCGGCAGCAGAUGGCCGCGCUCCGUCGGUGCCCGCCUGUCUGUCAGCCACACCUCAGUACACGGGAGCUGCGGCAGCAGCACCUGGCUGAGCAAGAGCGCUGCAGCCGCCUCGCCACGGGGCGAACAAGCCUGCCUGCAGCUCGCGGCCCCCGGGUGCGGAGGCAGGCGGGAACCUUCCCGCGGAGCGUGCUGCGAGCCGCCUGAGGUGCGUGAGGUGAGGAGCCCGGGAAACUUCUCCCUCGCCUUCUCCCAGGGGCUCGGGAAGCGCUUUGCCCGCAGGUCGGAAGGAGGAGCACCUGAAGGAAGACUCUGAGCGUGUGCCGCCAGAUCUGCUGUUGAGGAGAGACAUUCAGAUAUCAUCAGCCCUUGUUUUCUUAUUGUAAACUGCCAUUUGCAGCGCUUGUGACAAAACAGGCGAAGACUUGCUGUUUUGCAGAGGUGUACAUGUACUGAAGAAAGAAUAGGAAGGAAGGAAAAGGAGAAGAAAAAGAAGCGACACUACUAGUUUACAGCAGUAACAGACUGUGAAGAAUAGCCAGCCUAGGUGUGCUUAUAUACCUGCAUUAAUAAAGCAGUAAAAUCUUCACAGGCUUCUAAGCUAUCUGUAGUGUAUCCUCUGGAAUUUUGAGGAUAUUAGUAAGACUCUGUGGACGUGGUUAA